rnacentral:rRNA from 1 species
UAGAGUUUGAUCAUGGCUCAGAUUGAACGCUGGCGGCAUGCCUUACACAUGCAAGUCGAACGGCAGCACGGGAGCAAUCCUGGUGGCGAGUGGCGAACGGGUGAGUAAUACAUCGGAACGUGUCCUGUAGUGGGGGAUAGCCCGGCGAAAGCCGGAUUAAUACCGCAUACGAUCUGCGGAUGAAAGCGGGGGAUCUUCGGACCUCGCGCUGCAGGGGCGGCCGAUGGCAGAUUAGCUAGUUGGCGGGGUAAAGGCCUACCAAGGCGACGAUCUGUAGCUGGUCUGAGAGGACGACCAGCCACACUGGGACUGAGACACGGCCCAGACUCCUACGGGAGGCAGCAGUGGGGAAUUUUGGACAAUGGGCGCAAGCCUGAUCCAGCCAUGCCGCGUGCAGGAUGAAGGCCUUCGGGUUGUAAACUGCUUUUGUACGGAACGAAAAGUCUCUUUCUAAUAAAGAGGGAUCAUGACGGUACCGUAAGAAUAAGCACCGGCUAACUACGUGCCAGCAGCCGCGGUAAUACGUAGGGUGCAAGCGUUAAUCGGAAUUACUGGGCGUAAAGCGUGCGCAGGCGGUUAUGUAAGACAGUUGUGAAAUCCCCGGGCUCAACCUGGGAACUGCAUCUGUGACUGCAUAGCUAGAGUACGGUAGAGGGGGAUGGAAUUCCGCGUGUAGCAGUGAAAUGCGUAUAUAUCCGGAGGAACACCGAUGGCGAAGGCAAUCCCCUGGACCUGUAGUGACGCUCAUGCACGAAAGCGUGGGGAGCAAACAGGAUUAGAUACCCUGGUAGUCCACGCCCUCAACGAUGUCAACUGGUUGUUGGGUCUUCACCGAGUCAGUAACGAAGCUAACGCGUGAAGUUGACCAUAU